CCAUUCUAUCCUACUAUACCCCUUCACCAUCGAUCCGCCAGUCUCCGCCAGCCGUAAUGCGGGGCUUUCGGUGUCUGUGAGCCCGUUCCAAGCUGUGCUUCGUCCACCCCACUCAAAUCACCCAAGAUUCCGGCCAACUCCACUCAAUUCCAAGCACCUCCGGUAACGCCCACUGAAAUCCGACCACCUCCGGCGACAUACACGGUCACCUCCACUAAAAUGCAACCACUUCCGGUCAUCUCCGCUGAAAUCCGGUCAACUCUACUGAAAUCCGGCCACCUCUACUGAAAUCCGGUCACCUUCACUGACAUUCGAUCACCUCCGCUAUCAAAGAUAUUGUGGGAAGUGCCUAUUAUAUUGCACCCGAAGUCUUGAAGAGAAAAUACGGACCAAAAGUUGAUAUAUGGAGUAUUGGGGUCAUGCUACAUAUUCUUCUGAGGGGAGUUCCGCCUUUCUGGGCAGAACCUGAGCACAGGAUAUUCAAUGCAAUCUUGAAAGGGCACGCCGAUUUCACGAGUGAUCCGUGGCCUUCCAUAUCUCAUCAGGCCAAAGAUCUUGUAAAGAAGAUGUUGACUUCAAAUCCCAAGCAAAGGUUAACAGCUCAUCAAGUUCUUUAAUAUGGAGAAGCACCCGAUACACCACUUGAUAACGCGGUCCUUGGAAGGCUAAAACAGUUUAAAGCUAUGAAUAACUUUAAGAAAGUUGCACUUCGGGUACUUUAUAACUGUGGAUAUAGAGAAAGGAAUGCAAGAUGCGGAGGAAGUGGUCUUUUAUGAGGAGUGUGAACCAAUUAUAGAUGUGUUGGUUAAUCUUGACGGGUUCAAAGCGGGUCA